CAAUUAAUAUCUUAAAUUAAAGAAAUGAUUUUUUAAAUCAUUAAUGAUAAAUUUUAAUUAUCUUAAUUGA
rnacentral:tRNA from 1 species